GAGGCCCCCAUCCAGGAAGGCAGCAGGCGCGAAAAUUACCCACUUCCGCGCGGAGAGGUAGUGACUAGUCAUAACAAAUAUAGACCCUAGUGGUUUGUAUUUGGACUGGUGAGAUGUUAUAAAUAUCUCAGUAAUCUAGAUCAGGGCAAGUCUGGUGCCAGCAGCCGCGGUAAUACCAGCCUGAUCAAGCGUAUGCUUUAGUUGCUGCGUUUAAAAAGCUCAUAGUUGGAUCUUCGAAAGCGUGAUCAUCAAAGGGCGUAGUUCGGUUACGGUCGUUCUAUUCCUGGUCACGGUCUUUCACCAUACUUGGAAGACAGUUUAUUCUUAACUGAAUAGACUGAUCGAAAACAAGUGAUAAACCUUGAAAAAAUUAGAGUGCUCAAAGCAAGCUUUGGCCUUGAAUUUUAAAGCAUGGAAUUGAGGAAGAGGACCAUUAUGGUCGUGAACCAUUUUGGUAAUGAUUAAAAGGAACAGACGGGGGCAUACGUAUUGCUCGGGGAGGGGUGAAAUCCGUAGAUCCCAGCAAGACGACCUACUGCGAAAGCAUUUGCCAAGAAUGUUUUCAUUAAUCAAGAACGAAAGUUAGAGUAUUAAAGAGGAUUAGAUACCCUCGUAAUUCU
rnacentral:rRNA from 1 species